GUUGCUAGCUUUUUUUUUCAGACCCAUUGAAGCAAAAGAUUCUUGACUGGAAGACACGGUUGAACAUAAUGGAAGGAAUAUGCAGAGGUCUUUUGUAUCUUCACAGAGAUUCAAGACUAAAGAUCAUACACAGAGAUCUAAAAGCUAGCAACAUUUUGUUAGAUGACAAUCUGAAUCCCAAAAUAUCUGAUUUUGGGCUUGCAAGAGUUUUCCGAGCUAAUGAAGAUGAAGCUAACACAAGAAGGGUUGUAGGAACUUAGUAAGUAUCCCAUUCCCAAUAUACAAGAACACAUAUUUUGAAAACCAUCAUAACCAUUUGUUAUUGCAGCGGCUACAUGUCACCGGAAUAUGCAAUGGAAGGUUUAUUUUCAGAAAAGUCAGACGUUUUCAGCUUGGGGGUUAUACUUUUAGAGAUCAUAAGUGGGAGAAGAAUCUCUCACAAGGAAGAAAAUAAUCUAAACCUUUUGGCAUAUGUAAGUGUGUACUGUUUAGUAACUUUACUAGCUUUGAAUCUUACCAGUAAUAUGGUCUUUUUACAGGCGUGGAAGCUUUGGAAUGAGGGUGAGGCUGCUUCUCUAGCAGAUCCAAGCGUCUUUGAUGAGUCUUUCGAGAAAGAGAUAACGAAAUGUGUUCAGAUUGGUUUGUUGUGUGUGCAAGAAGUUGCUAACGAUAGACCGAAUGUUUCAACCGUGAUUUGGAUGCUAACCACCGAAAACACGAACCUCAAAGAGCCGAAGCAGCCUGCGAUUAUAGCAAGAAGAGGAGCUUCUGAGGCUGAAUCUUCUGACCAGAGUAGUCAAAAGGUCUCUAUCAAUGAUGUGAGUCUCACAGCUGUAACAGGGCGCUAAGCUCACAGAGCUAAUAUUUUUGUUUAUAUAAUGUAUGUUUUGAGAAUCACAUAUGCUUGCAAAUUGUGUUAUUCUGUGCAUGUUUAAUAGUUUGGUUAAAUAAUACUCUCCCAGUUUCAAAAUAAUAUAUAUUUUAGAGUUUUCACACUUAUUAAGAAAACACGUAAAAUAUGGAUCUCUUAGAAACAAUUUUUUUUUCUAAAAUAUGGAUCAUUCUGAAAUGGAAGAGUAAAAAAAUGUAUUUUCAGGGAAGUUAUGUUUAGAUUCAUUUAGCAUAGACUUGUUAUCAUUACCUCAGUUAAAAACACAUAAUGUGAAACUGAGCUGUGGUGAUAGUUACAAAUUUACAAUAGAUUCUAGUACUGUAAGUCUGUAACUUGACCUACUCUUAGAUGAAUUAAUUAACUUGGAUGAAGAAACUGAACGUGUAACAUGUUCUUGACUCUUGAGAAGCCACAGACAGUAAGUUUUGUCUUGAAAAGAUUCUCCUUAUCUUGCUUUUCUUCUUCUUUUUCUUUUUUUUUUUAUUUCUUAUUGGAAUCUCCAAUAAUGAUGCCUGCUUGAAUGUCAUUGGUCUAUGUGAUUUUAGUGCUAGUCUUCAAAGGCAUAUUCAUGGAUGGCGGCCAUGUUUUAUUGCCUUGAUGGGUAAUAAAAGAGUAGAUCAUUGCCUAUCGUCUCUCUUAUAAAAUAUUUGUUGAGACAUGGUAACAUAGUGGUGAAGCUGGAGGAAUAAUGCAGUUAGUAUGUAUGUCGCCAUUGCAACUUGACAGAGUUCUGGCAUCUUAACAGUAUGUGAAAGAGCUAAACACAAUUUCUAAAACAUAGUCAUCACUAGAAUAGUUUGCAUGUGACUUUACAGAAAGACAAAGAACAUCAAGUUGAUUGAGAGGGAUGGUAACUUAUGACCUUUCACCACUCAAUAACAAAAUCGCUAGACUUACUAUGUUGAAGUCACUGCCCAUUAUGUCCCACUACGACAGAACCAAAAAUCUUCCUUGAAAGAUUAAAACAUCAGCACUUUCCUCUUCUUAAGUCUUCUUAUAGAGACAAAGACCACCACUAUAUUAACUUACCUCUCGUACACUAUAUCUUACAAAGAGAAACAACAAAGCAAAACUAGAACUUCUCUGUUUCACUUAGUAGUUAUGGUGGUUCUACUGAACUCACAUCCUUGUUUUGUUCUUCUUCUUCUUCUUGCAGCAUUCUCUUGCUUCUCUCUGAGGUUAUGUUUCGGCGAAGACAGACUCACCUUCUCAACUCCGAGCAAAGACUCAGAGUCAAAGACACUUCUAUGCAAAAAGGGCAUUUUCAGGUUUGGUUUCUUCACUCCUGCAAACUCCACUUCUCGCUUACGUUAUGUUGGGAUUUGGUACGACAAGAUUCCAGUUCAAACAGUGGUCUGGGUCGCCAACAGAGACGCUCCCAUCAACGACACUUCCGGUGUUGUUUCCAUCUCUGACGACGGAAACCUCGUGGUUACCGAUGGUAGAAACCGCAGUAUAUGGUCGACCAACGUCACAGUACCAGUAGCUCCAAAUGCCACUUGGGUUCAGCUAAUGGAAAACGGGAAUCUUAGGCUACAAGACAACAGAAACAACGGCGAGAUCAUAUGAGAGAGUUCCAAGCACCCCUAUAGCUCUGUGUUGCCAAGAAUGAGUCUCUUGACCAACAGUAAAACCGGAGAAAACAUCGGUCUUACUUCUUGGAGAAACUAUACUGAUCCUUCAACAGGGAACUACACAGUUGGCCUUGUCGCUUUCCCGUUUCCCGAGCUUCUAAUCUGGAAGAACAAGGUUCCACAGUGGCGUAGCGGUCCCUGGAAUGGUCAGGUUUUCAUCGGUUUACCGGAUAUGGAUUCUCUCCUCAACAUUGAUGGUUUUAACCUCAACAAUGAUAACCAAGGAACGGUUUCGUUGAGCUAUGCUAAUGACUCCUUCAUGUAUCACUUCAACUUGGAUCCUAAUGGAGCUAUAUAUCAAAGAGACUGGAGUACUUCUAUGAAUGACUGGCGAGUCGGUGUUCGGUUCCCAUCUACAGACUGUGAUGAAUACAGUAGAUGUGGUCCUUAUGGGAGCUGCAAUUACCGGGAAGAUCCACAGUGCAAGUGCAUACAAGGUUUUGUGCCGAGGAAUAGCACAGAGUGGAGUGGAGGAAACUGGAUUAAUGGAUGUGUGAGAAGAGCUCCAUUAAGGUGUGAAAGGGUUAGAAAUGGAAGUAGUAAUGGAGGAAAAGAAGAUUGGUUUUUGAAAGUGCAGAAGAUGAAAGUACCUGUCAAUGUGCAACCGUCUUUAGCUAAUGCGCAAGCUUGUCCUAAGGUUUGUUUAGAUAACUGUUCUUGCACAGCUUAUGCAUAUGAUCAAGGCAUUGGAUGCAUGCUUUGGAGCGGUAGCUUGGUUGAUAUGCAAUCUUUCUUGGGAAGUGGCAUUGAUCUUUAUAUUCGACUCUCGCAUUCUGAACUCAGUGAGUAAAAAAAAAACUCUACUAAUCUCACAUUUAUUCAUCUUCAUUGACUAAUGACAUCUCACCAAAAUCUUGUAGAAGCACAUAGCAAGAGAGCAGUAAUGAUCACAGCACUUGUGCUAGGCGUUGUGUUUGUUUCUGCGGUCUGCUUUCUUUUAGCAUGCCUGAAACUCAAAAAGCGUCCAGGUUAGAGUUUUCUUUACUCUUGCUUGAGAUUUUUCCUUUUAUAAAAGUUUGUUUGCAUCUACAAUCACUGCCUUAGGAGAACCAAAGAAAGAUAGAAGCGUAGAGCAAUUGUUAAAGAGAAUGGAAGAAGUUAACAGUGGUGAUGAGCCUGCUUCUAACCAAGUUAAGCUAGAGGAACUUCCGCUCUUUGAGUUUCAAGUGUUAGCUACAGCAACUGAUGACUUCUCUCUCAGAAGCAAGCUCGGACAAGGCGGAUUUGGUCCUGUUUACAAGGUGAAGACACUUAAAAAAAAACACUUUCUGAAAAGAGAUUUUUGUAUAAAAUCUCAUAUUAAUAUUUUUUUUUCUUCAGGGAAAAUUACCUGAAGGGCAAGAAAUAGCAGUGAAGAGGCUCUCAAGGGCAUCAGGACAAGGACUUGAGGAGCUUAUGAACGAAGUGGUUGUCAUUUCGAAGUUGCAACAUAGGAAUCUGGUGAAGUUACUUGGCUGUUGCAUUGAAGGUGAAGAAAGGUUGCUAGUCUACGAAUAUAUGCCAAAGAAAAGCUUGGAUGCCUAUCUAUUUGGUAAAAUGAUCUCCUCUCUUUUGUUCUUACUUAGGAAAGCUAAUGAUUUUGUAAGCUCUUUCUUCAGACCCUUUGAAGCAAAAGAUUCUUGACUGGAAGACACGGUUGAACAUAAUGGAAGGAAUAUGCAGGGGUCUUCUGUACCUUCACAGAGAUUCAAGACUAAGGAUCAUACACAGAGAUCUAAAAGCCAGCAACAUUUUGUUAGAUGACAACAUGAAUCCCAAAAUAUCUGAUUUCGGGCUUGCAAGAGUUUUCCUAGCGAAUGAAGAUGAAGCUAACACAAGAAGGGUUGUAGGAACAUAGUAAGUAUCCAUUCCCAUUAUACACAACAAGAAGGGUUAUCAUAUCAUAUAACUAUUUGUUAUUGCAGCGGCUAUAUGUCACCAGAAUAUGCAAUGGAAGGCUUAUUUUCAGAAAAAUCAGACGUUUUCAGCUUGGGGGUUAUACUUUUAGAGAUCAUAAGUGGGAAAAAAAACUCUCACAAGGAAGAUAAUUAUCCAAACCUUUUAGCUUAUGUAAGUGUGUACUAAUAAUCAGUGUUUAGUAACUUUUAUAGCUUUUAAACUUUACCUGUAAAUUUGAUAUUCUUACAGGUGUGGACGCUGUGGAAUGAGGGAGAGGCUGCUUCUCUAGCAGAUCCAAACGUCUUUGAUGAGUCUUUCGAGAAAGAGAUAACAAAAUGUGUUCAGAUUGGUUUGUUGUGUGUGCAAGAAGUUGCUGACGAUCGACCUAAUGUUUCAACCGUGAUUUGGAUGCUAACCACCGAGAACAUGAACCUCCCCGAGCCGAAUCAGCCUGCGUUUAUAACAAGAAGAGAAAAGUCUGAGGGUGAAUCUUCUGACCAGAGUAGUCAGAAGGUCUCUAUCAAUGAUGUGAGCCUCACAUCUGUUACAGGGCGUUAAGAACAUAAAGCCAAUCUGAUUAUGUAUAACUAAAAAGGUUUGAAUAAGUUUGGCGAAUAAUUAAGUGUGUUGAUUAUAAUGUGGAGUGUUAUAAGUCAAUAUAGACAUUAUGAUGUGUGUUGAAUAAAAUGUGUGGAGUGUUAUAAGUCAAUAUAAAAUAGACAUUAUGAUGAAUGUUGAAUAAGUUGUAAAAAUCUAGAAAAUAUGUAUGUUUAUAUAAAAUAUCUGGUUUGGGAAACUCCUACGUUUGAAAAUUUUAUUAUUCUGCGCAUGCUUAAUGGUUAGAUUAAAGAACAAGAGAUGUAUAUCUGAGAAGUUAAGUUCAGAUUUGGUCUUAUGACCUCACUAAAAUCACUUCAAUAGUUUCUAGUACUGAAACUUAACUAACCUGGAUGAAGAAGCUGAAAAGGAGAAAGAACAUAAACCACAUAUGUUCUUGAGAAGCCUGUUUUUUUUUCUUGAGAAGCCACACUAUUAUGGUUUUGUGUGUUUGGGUUGCUUUGCUAUGUAUAUAUAUAGUGAAAUGAACGAACCUGGAUAGUUUGGAAUUGUGGAUAAGAUCAGUUUUGACCUUUCAUAAUUCCAUUAAAUACAUAACAACAUCUUUGACUCUUCUGCAGAAAUUUUAUUAUAGUGAAGCCAAGAAAGAAAUUUCCUCUCUCUUUUUCUUCUUCUUUCUUUGUAAGAAAUUUAACGACCUUGAACAUCGGUGAAGGUAACGUCAUUAACAGAACUACCCGGCUCUGCAAUGAGCAAAGAAACAAUUUCGCGGCCUCUCCUUCUCACGGAAGUAAACGAAGGAAGCUUCGGAUUUGGAAGAUCAAUAGCGUUUUGACCCAACAUGAUGAGAACAGAGGACAUAUCUCCUCUGUCCGAAGCGUUUUUUUGCACGCAAAGCAACCCAAUGUGUAUGCACUUCACCACUUCGCUCUCGUUAUAAGUCCCUUGAUCCAUAAAGUUGUCUAUGAUGUCUUUUGCUUCACCUUUUUCCCAUAGAUCCCAAAUCUACAAAGAUGAAAAAAACAAACAUCUUCCCUACCUUAUAAAUAAAGAGAUUUAUAAAAACUGAAAAACUUAUGAAAAAGAUGAAUUUGUUUCACUGAACUUUCAUUUCAUUCAUUACCUCAACGAUUACAACCUAGUUUAGUAUAUUUAUGCUAGAGAGUGAAAACCGUAGCUCACUAGACAGAUGGCUCAAUCCUGAUCCUUAAGAGAAUCGAGGGCUGUAAAUUGGUUAAGACCACCGAAGAUGGACUCUUCUUUGUCUCGUCUUGGCCCAUCUUCGCUUUACCUUUCUGAUCCUGAGCCAAAGCUGCGUCGUUUUGAGUCAUGCUCUGUUUGCUCUGUUUAACAAUAAACAGGUCCGAAACCACCAGCUCCAAGCUUGUUAUGGGAAGAGAAGUUAUCAGUGGCUGCCGCGAUCGUUAAUGGUUUGAUUAAAGAAUCAGGGAAGUUAUGUUCGGAUUCAUCUAGUACAGACUUGGUAUUGUUACCUCAGCUAAAAAACCUUAUGUGAAACUGAGGUGUGUUAGUUAUAAUAAAUUCUAGUACUGAAACUUGACCUACUCUUAAAUGAAUUAAUUAACCUUGAUGGAGAAACUGAACCUGUUGGAAAGGGAGAAAAACAAAACCGAAUUAUGUUCUUGACUCUUGAGAUGACACAGUAGGCUUUGUCUUCUUCCUACUUUUCUAAAUUUUUUUUAUUGUUAGAGAAGUUAUGUUCAGAUUCAUCUAGUACAGACUUUGUACUCUUUACCUCAGUUAAAAACACCUAAUGUGAAACUGAGCUGUGUUGGUAGUUACAAUAAAUUCUAGUGCUGAAACUUGACCUACUCUUAGAUGAAUUAACUAACCUUGAUGGGAAUGGAACCGAAACAUGUUCUUGACUCUUGAGAAGCCACAGUAGAUUUUUUUCUUGAAAUGAUUCUACUUAUCUUGCUUUCCUUCUUCUUCUUUUUCCUUUUCAAUUUUUUUAUUGUUAGCUGUGUGAAAAGCUCCAAUAACGUUGCCUGCUUAAAUUUGAAUGUACCUACAUAGAGAGCACCUUUUUUCUCUCGUUUAGAAUCCCGAGGUAGGGCAAGUGGCUGGGAAGUGUUUUCCCCUUUGGCAUCGUAACCGUCCGUUUGGAAAAAUAUCCCUCCGUAUUCAAUCUAAGUCGUUCAACUUAGGGUUCUACAAGGAAAAAGUGGAGAAAAUCUGUGUUUCAAUCCAAAGGUGAAAUCGAAGAAGAAGUGGGUGAAUCUACAAUCUAGCAAGCGGAGAUCGAGUUGGUAGUGAAACUGUGUUCUGAAAGAAGAAGUGUGAAGAAAGAAGAUGACAGGAGUGUUAGAUAAAGCUUUGUUGGAUUUGUCUUUGGAGGAAGAUGAUGAGCCGUAUGUGAUGCCUGACAGACCGGAGUAUUACGCAACGGACCGUAACUCUAUGAGCCUCAUCGGAAGGCUCCUAAACCCCCAGUGCCAAAAAAUGUCAGAUCUGAUACUGGAUAUGCCUCGCAAAUGGCAACUGUACGAUAGGGUUAAAGGUGUGGCGCUGUCAAAGGAUAGAUUUCAGUUCAUAUUCAAAUAUGAAAGAGACCUGCUUGAUGUGCUCAACAGGGGUCUGCACACUAGCAACAUGUGGUCGAUUGUCCUGGAGCGAUGGGUGGAGAAACCACCGGAAGACUACCUUCAGUACUUGUAUGUAUGGGUCCAGAUGAGAAAUGUUCCUGUAAAUCACUAUACUCCUGGGGCUAUUCAUGAUCUUGGUAGGUUUGCGGGAGAGGUUGUUGAUGUGCCUUUUGAUCCCGAGAAGGCGCAAACCAAAGAUUAUGUUCGAGUUAAAGUGAAGUUUGACGUAUCUAGGCCACUUAGGAGAGCGAAGAAAGUUACUACACCAGGGGGAGAGGACGUCAACAUCCUUUAUGAUUAUGAGAGGAUCCAAAAGAGGUGUUACACUUGCCAGAGGUUAACACAUGAGCAAUCAAAGUGCCCUAUUGAGAGGGCUGCGAAAAACCAAGACAUUGGGGCUUCUCAGCAAAAGAUGCAAGUUAUCCUACCGAGCAUCGAUACCAAUGAUCCGCUUUUCGGUCUAGUUCCUCCUAAACUCCUGGGUGCAGACCCCCUCACUGGCAAACCUAAAAUUGCUGAGGAAGUGCUAGAAGAUAUGCGAAUCUACAUCAAGACGGCGAAUGGUCCGGAGAAGCUGGCGAGGGCAGAAAGAGUUAAAAGUUCGCUGCGUGAAUUACAAGAUGAUGUGUUGGGUCAAAAGGCGUUCCUAAGCUUACAACCUUUGCCAGUUGUUUCUGAUGACCUCGACAAAGGGAAAGGGAUUGUUUUCGACUUCUCAGCCAAAUCUGAUAAAAUACCACCAGGAGAGAAGCUAAUGGCUGGAGCUAUUUCCGCGGGUAACAGAGUGUUACAGUCAGGCAAGAUCCUUAGCCAACCAUUGAGACUGGAAGGGUGUGCGGAUUCUGCUCGACCUGCGUCUUUACAGGAAAGUUCAACGGGUUAUAGCAUUGGUUUUCAUGAAACCUCUGCUUCCGGGACUUCCCUCAAAAGGACUUACAAGAGAAGAAGACCUGGUACGUUUACAAGAAAAGCUAAUGGGAAAGGUCUUGCGAAGCAAUCAUCCACACCAGGGAAGAAAGUAGGAGAAGGUGUGAUGUCUGAGACAAAGAGGAAAGCUAAUGACGAUGUCGAGCCAUCUCAAAGCUCUGCAAGGUUUAAGAAACCAUUGGUGGUCCCAAAUGAGGGACCGUCCAACAUCUAAUGGCGUUCGUGAGCUGGAAUUGCCAGGGCUUGGGCCGUGCACAAGACUUGGUGAUUCCGAGACUGCGGGAAAUGAGACGAGAACAUUUCCCAGAUAUUAUUUUUCUUAUGGAGACAAAACAAGGUAGAGAUGAGCUGGUGGAUCUUCAGGUACUGUUGGGGUACGAUAGGAUUAUGACUGUGAAUCCUAUUGGUUACAGUGGGGGGUUGGCGUUACUAUGGAAGAAUUCUGUAAAUAUUUCGUUUAAGCAUGUAGAUAACCACUUGGUUGAUCUUGAGGUUCAGAUGGGUGGUGAAAAUUUUUUCAUGUCAUGCAUAUAUGGAGAACCUGUCAGGAAGAAUAGGCCAAAGUUAUGGGAGAGGCUUUCUCGCAUAGGAGCUCACCGUAAAGAAGCCUGGUGCAUGAUAGGAGAUUUCAACGAAAUAAGGAACAAUGAUGAAAAGCUUGGAGGGCCUCGGCGGAGUGACAAGUCCCUUGAACCCUUCAAUGAUAUGUUAUCAGUGUGCGAGAUGGCGGAACUGCAAGCGUCUGGAAACAACUUGACAUGGGGAGGCUUGAGAUGGCUUAAAUGGAUCCAGAGCAGGCUUGAUAGGUGCUUUGGAAACAAACAAUGGUUCAGAUCCUUCCCGGCAUCAAAUCAGAGUUUUCUUGACAUGAGAGGGUCGGAUCAUAGACCGGUGCUGGUCAAGUUGUUGGAAUCUAUGGAAUCCUACAGAGGAAGCUUCAAAUUUGAUAGUAGAUUCCUGAACAAGCCUGGAGUCAAGGAAGAAAUUAAGAAGGCGUGGCUGACUAAUCAUAAGUUUUUUGGUUCAUCGGUAUCAGACAAACUCAAGCAAUGCCGCAAGUCCUUGAGUAGAUGGAAGAAGAAUUUCAACCUUAACUCCAGGGAUAAACUGGUGCAGAUUCAAAUAGCCCUGGAAGCAGAACAAUCAUCUAGUUUCCCGUCUGGAGUAAGAGUGAACUACCUGAAAACUGAGUUGAUCAAGUCAUACAGAGAGGAAGAGAAGUAUUGGAAGCAGAGGAACAAGGACAAAUGGGCCACUAAAGGUGAUCUCAAUACCAGAUAUUAUCAUGCUUCAGUCAAAGCGAACAGAAAUAGGAAGAGAAUUGAGAAGCUGAUGGAUGAGAAAGGACAGCUACAAUUUUCUGAAGCUGCGAAGGCUCAGGUUGCUACAGACUACUUCAAUAAAUUGUUCAAGGCAGGGGAGGUUGGGAAUUAUGAUCAUCUCUUUGAAGGUUUCACUGCGAAGGUCUCCGUAACUAUGAAUGAUUUGUUGACAAGGGAGGUUACUAAUGAAGAGGUAAGAGACGCGGUGUUUUCUAUCAAUCCAGCAAGUGCACCGGGGCCAGACGGAAUGUCAGGUUUGUUCUUCCAAAAAUAUUGGGGAACGGUUGGAGCCCAGGUAACAGAAGAAGUGAAGAAAUUCUUCCUACAUGGGGUGUUCCCCAAGGAAUGGAAUUACACUCAUUUAUGCCUUCUUCCUAAGAUAACUGAUCCAAUUUUGAUGACUGAUCUCCGUCCAAUCAGCUUGUGCUCGGUCCUGUACAAGAUGAUAUCGAAGAUAAUGGUGAACAGGCUUAAACCUAUGCUUCCGGAUUUAGUAUCUGCAACGCAGUCAGCGUUUGUCGAAGAACGGCUUAUCACUGAUAACAUUCUCAUUGCCCAUGAGAUGGUGCAUGCGCUGAGAACCAAUGAUAAUUUCUCUAGAGAUUUCAUGGCUAUCAAAUCAGAUAUGUCCAAGGCCUACGAUCGGGUGGAAUGGAAUUAUUUGAAGGCACUGUUGAGGGCUUUGGGUUUCGCUGAGGUAUGGAUAGAGAGGGUUAUGUUCUGCGUGUCAUCGGUCACAUUCUCCACACUGAUUAAUAAUCAAGCUUUUGGGUGCAUCCAACCAGAGAGAGGGCUCAGGCAGGGUGACCCGAUGUCUCCAUUCCUCUUUAUUUUGUGUACAGAGGGCUUGAUUCACAUGUUAAACACGGCAGCUAGGAAUGAUAAGAUUCAGGGCAUCAGAUUUGAUGAAGAAGGUCCAAUGAUUCAUCACAUGUUAUUCGCUGAUGACAGUUUGCUAAUCUGUAGAGCGAAUCAGGACCAAGCUGCAGAGUUGAUGAGAAUCCUUAAGGUGUAUGAGAAAGCGACUGGUCAACAAGUGAGUAUAGCUAAGUCCGCCAUUACUUUUGGAUCCAAGGUGCACGAGGAUGUUAGAAAUGUGAUCAAAAGAGUUACCGGAAUCCAGAAGGAAGGUGGUUCAGGGUCCUACUUAGGAUUGCCUGAAUGCUUUAGUGGGUCCAAGACGGAAAUGCUGGCGUACAUCUAUGACAGGCUAAAGGAUAGGCUAUCAGGAUGGUUCAUGAAACAGUUGUCGUUAGGAGGGAAGGAAAUUCUAAUCAAGGCUGUGGCCAUGGCUAUGCCGAUCUAUGCCAUGUCCUGUUUUAAAUUGACAAAGACGUCCUGUGAUAACUUGACAAGAGCAAUGGCAGAUUUCUGGUGGAAUUCGUUAGAGCACAAGAGGAAGUUGCACUGGCUGAGUUGGUCGAAAUUAUCUCUGGCAAAGGAUCAAGGGGGUUUGGGCUUUAAGGACAUCCAAAGCUUCAAUCAAUCGUUACUGGCCAAACAGGCGUGGAGGAUUCUCAACGAGCCGGAAUCUCUUUUUGCCAAAGUUUUCAAGAGCCGCUACUUCCCUUCCAGUGACUUCUUAGCUGCCUCAAACGGGCCUAGACCCUCCUAUGCUUGGCGGAGCAUUCAGUUUGGCAAGGAAUUACUGGUUAUGGGAAUAAAAAAGAAGAUUGGCAAUGGUAAGACAGUGUCUGUGUGGGUCGAUGCUUGGAUUGAAGGUGAAGUGAUGAGGAGACCUUUAAUGAAAAACAUUUUUGUCGACCUUUUGCUCUGCGUGGAUAAGCUGAUUGACGAGGAAAAUAGAUGCUGGAAUUUAAAUAUCCUUCACGAUCUGUUCUUUGAGGAAGACGUCGCAAGGAUAAUGGCAAUGAAACCUGUCUUUGAAGGAGAUGAUUUCUGGGUGUGGCAGCAUAACAAGCAUGGUAGUUACUCGGUUAAAUCGGGGUAUUGGCUAAAAAACAGAAUGGCGAGGGAGGAAGAGAUCAGAGAAGCCGAAGCCCUGCCCUCUCUAAAUGAGUUGAAGACUGCAGCGUGGAAACUCAAGACUCCUCCUAAGAUUAAAACUUUCCUAUGGAGAGCCUUGAGCAAUGCGAUUUCUGUUGGUGAACUGCUUGUGAAGAGGGGCAUCAGGUUGGACCCGUGUUGUCAAGCCUGCGGGUUCCAAGGAGAGUCAAUCAAUCAUAUCCUUUUCACAUGUCAUGUUGCGCGCCAAGUUUGGGCUUUGGCGAAUGUUCCUUCUCCCCCUGGUGGCUUUGAAUUGACUUCUCACUAUGCCAACAUUCAUCACCUAUUCUCAUUGGGGUCUAACAAAUCAAUCCCAAGCAAGGUACGUAAUGCGCUACCAUGGAUCACUUGGUUUCUUUGGAAGAACAGGAACAAUCUGAUGUUUGAAGGAAAACAAGCGGGUUUGUUUGAGCUGGUAGAAAAAUGUUUUGUGGAGUCGGAGAUGUGGAGUUUAGCGCAAAUGGAGGAGCAAAAGGAGGACGCUGAAGAACGAGGUAAUGGCACGGCUUGCCACAAAAGAUGGGUUCCUCCUCCGAAGGGUUGGUUAAAAUGUAACAUUGGCGUCGAUUGGAUGAAAGGCAUUUGUUUGGCUGGAGGAGCUUGGGUCUUAAGGGAUGAGAAAGGCAAGGUGAUUCUUCAUGGGAGAAGGGCAUUUUCUGAGAUUGGUAGCCUUCAUGAUGCAAAACUGCAAGUCUUGGUUUGGUCAGUGGAAAGUAUCAUAUCUCAUCACCAAAACAAGGUGAUAUUUGCUUUAGACGAUGGCGACAUAACUCAAAUGGUUCUUAGACCUAAAGCCUGGCCAAACUUCAAAGGAGAGAUAGGGCUUAUUAUGGGUAAAUUAUGUGGUCUUGAAUGGUGGAGAUUGGUGAAGGAAGAUAGAGCAAACAACAGAGGAGCUCUCCUCAUUGCUAAAGGAGUAACCAAAGGAGGACAGACACAGUCAUAUGUGGCAGCAGGACCUCCUGCGUGGCUUCUAGGUUGCUUUGAAAAUGAGGAAGUAUCAUCCUCUGUUUAGGUGCUUGGGUAGGUUUUUUUUUUUGGAGGUAUUUUUUGGAUGGGGUAUAGUAACUGGCUUGUGGAGCAGUUCUUGUAGGGGAGAUUGUUGUAUUCCCAUAGGUAGUGUCUGCCAUUGUUGGCUUUUCAUAUCUAAUAUGUAAGGAUAAACCUUGAAGUAACAUCCAAUAUAUUCUAACAGAUGACAAAAAAAAAAACGUUGCCUGCUUCAGUGUCAUUGGUCUAUGUGAUCUUAUUGCUAGUCUUUCAAGACAUAUUCAAGGUUCCAUUUACCACUGAUUGCAUACUUAUAGCAAAAAAAAAUAGUUAUGUCUGAAAAUAUCGGAUGUAGUUGUAAUGCUUUUAUUUCCUUAGAAGUAGUAAAAGAGUCUGAUCUUUAAGACCAUACAAAAUAUUUGAUGUCUUCAUUUACGAGUUUUUUCUAUCUUUUUUGACACAUGGCAACAUAAUGGUGAACUUGGGGCAAUGAAACAGUUUGUAUGUACGUCGCCAUUGCAACUUGACAGAGUUCUGCCAUUUUAACUUAAUGUGAAAAAAAUAAACAUAUUACUACAAUAGUUUGCAUGUGACUUUACAGAAAGACACAGAACAUCAAGCUGAGAGAGAUGGUAAUUUAUGACAUUUUACCACUCAAUAACCGACAAAUUCGCAAGACUUACGAUGUUGAAGUCACUGCCCAAAUGUCACUCUACGACAGAAACAAUCUUCUUUGAAAGAAAGUCUUCUUAUAGAGACAAAGACCACCACUAUAUUAACUUGCCUCUCGUACACGAUAUCUUCCAAAGAGACCACCACUAUAUUAACUUGCCUCUCGUACACGAUAACUUUCCAAAGAGAAACAACAAAGAAAAACUGGAACCUGGUCUUUUUCACUUAGUAGCUAUGGUGGUUCUACUGAACUCACGUCCUUGUUUUGUUGUUCUUAUUCUUCUUGCAGCAUUCUCUUGCUUCUCUCCGAGACUAUGUUUCGGCGAAGACAGAAUCACGUUCUCAACUCCGAUCAAAGACUUAGAGUCAAAGACACUUCUCUGCAAAAGUGGUGUGUUCAGGUUUGGUUUCUUCACUCCUGUAAACUCAACUGGUCGGUUACGUUACGUUGGGAUUUGGUACGACAAGAUUCCAGUUCAAACUGUGGUUUGGGUCGCCAACAGGGACGCUCCCAUCAACGACACUUCCGGUGUUGUUUCCAUCUCUGACGACGGAAACCUCGUGGUCACGGAUGGUCGAAACAGCCUUCUAUGGUCCACCAACGUCACAGUCCUAGUAGCUCCAAAUGCCACUUGGGUUCAGCUAAUGGAAAAUGGGAAUCUUAGGUUACAAGACAACAGAAACAACGGUGAGAUUCUGUGGGAGAGUUUCAAGCAUCCCUAUAGUUCUAUGUUGCCAAGAAUGAGUCUUGGGCUUAACAAUGGAACCGGAGAGAAUACAGGGCUUACUUCUUGGAGAAGCUAUACAGAUCCAUCAACAGGGAACUAUACAGUUGGCCUUGUCGCUUUCCCGUUUCCCGAGCUUCUAAUCUGGAAGAACAAGGUUCCACAGUGGCGUAGCGGUCCCUGGAACGGUCAGGUUUUCAUCGGUUUACCGGAUAUGGAUUCCCUUCUGAACAUUGAUGGGUUUAACCUCAAUAAUGAUAACCAAGGAACGGUUUUACUGACCUUUGCUAAUGACUCUUUCUUGUAUCACUUCAACUUGGAUCCUAAUGGAGCUAUAUACCAGAGAGAUUGGAGUACUUCUAUGAAUGAUUGGAGAGUUGGUGUCAGGUUCCCAUCUACAGAUUGUGAUGAAUACAAUAGAUGUGGUCCAUAUGGGAGCUGCAAUUACCGGGAAGACCCACAGUGUAAAUGCAUAAAAGGGUUUGUGCCUAGGAACAACACUGAGUGGAGUUUAGGAAACUGGAUUAGUGGAUGUGUGAGAAGAGCUCCACUACGGUGCGAAAGAGUCAAGAAUGGAAGUAGUAAUGGAGGAAAAGAAGAUUGGUUUUUGAAAGUGCAGAAGAUGAAAGUACCAGUGAAUGUGCAACCAUCUUUAGCUAAUGCGCAAGCUUGUCCUAAGGUUUGUUUAGAUAACUGUUCUUGCACAGCUUAUGCAUAUGAUCAAGGCAUUGGAUGCAUGCUUUGGAGUGGUAACUUAGUUGAUAUGCAAUCUUUCUUGGGAAGUGGCAUUGAUCUUUAUAUUCGGCUUUCACAUUCUGAACUCAGUGAGUAAAAGAAACUUUAGUAGUCUCACCUUUCUUAUUAUUCAUUGACUAAUGACAUCUCACCAAAAUCUUGUAGAAGCACACAGCAAAAGAGCAGUAAUGAUCACAGCACUUGUGCUAGGCAUUGUGUUUGUUUCUGCGGUCUGUGUUCUUUUAGCAUGCCUGAAACUCAAAAAGCGUCCAGGUUAGAGUGUUCUUUACUCUUGCUUGAGAUUUUUCCUUUUAUAAUAAUUUGUUUGCUUCUUAAAUCAUUGCCUUAGGAGAACCAAAGAAAGAUAGAAGUGUAGAGCAGUUGUUAAAGAGAAUGGAAGAAGUUAACAGUGGUGAUGAGGCUGCUUCUAACCAAGUUAAGCUAGAGGAGCUUCCGCUCUUUGAGUUCCAAGUGUUAGCUACAGCAACUGAUGACUUCUCUCUCAGAAGCAAGCUCGGACAAGGCGGAUUUGGUCCUGUUUACAAGGUAAAGGCACUAAACAAAACACUUUCUGAAAAGAGAUUUUUCUAUACAAUCUCAUAUCAAUAUUUUUUUUUUCUUCAGGGAAAGUUACCUGAAGGGCAAGAAAUAGCAGUGAAGAGGCUCUCAAGGGCAUCAGGACAAGGACUUGAGGAGCUUAUGAACGAAGUGGUUGUGAUCUCCAAGUUGCAACAUAGGAAUCUGGUGAAGUUACUUGGCUGUUGCAUCGAAGGUGAAGAAAGGUUGCUAGUCUACGAGUAUAUGCCAAACAAAAGCUUGGAUGCCUAUCUAUUUGGUAAAAUGAUCUCCUCUCUUUCGUUCUUACUUAGGAAAGCUAAUGAUUUUGUAAGCUCUUUCUUUAGACCCUUUGAAGCAAAAGAUUCUUGACUGGAAGACACGGUUGAACAUAAUGGAAGGAAUAUGCAGGGGUCUUCUGUACCUUCACAGAGAUUCAAGACUAAGGAUCAUACACAGAGAUCUAAAAGCCAGCAACAUUUUGUUAGAUGACAACCUGAAUCCCAAAAUAUCUGAUUUUGGGCUUGCAAGAGUUUUCCGAGCAAAUGAAGAUGAAGCUAACACAAGAAGGGUUGUAGGAAC
rnacentral:lncRNA from 1 species